rnacentral:rRNA from 1 species
CCUACGGGGGGCAGCAGUAGGGAAUAUUGCUCAAUGGGGGAAACCCUGAAGCAGCAACGCCGCGUGGAGGAUGAAGGUUUUCGGAUUGUAAACUCCUUUUGUUAGAGAAGAUAAUGACGGUAUCUAACGAAUAAGCACCGGCUAACUCCGUGCCAGCAGCCGCGGUAAUACGUAGGGUGCAAGCGUUACUCGGAAUCACUGGGCGUAAAGAGCGCGGAGGCGGGAUAGCAAGUCAGAUGUGAAAUCCUAUGGCUUAACCAUAGAACUGCAUUUGAAACUGUUAGUCUAGAGUAUGGGAGAGGUAGGUGGAAUUCUUGGUGUAGGGGUAAAAUGCGUAGAGAUCAAGAGGAAUACUGAUUGCGAAGGCGACCUGCUAGAACAUAACUGACGCUGAUGCGCGAAAGCGUGGGGAGCAAACAGGAUUAGAUACCCUUGUAGUC